AUACUGCAAGUCGAGCGAACAGAAGGGAGCUUGCUCCCGGAUGUUAGCGGCGGACGGGUGAGUAACACGUGGGUAACCUGCCUGUAAGACUGGGAUAACUCCGGGAAACCGGAGCUAAUACCGGAUAGUUCCUUGAACCGCAUGGUUCAAGGAUGAAAGACGGUUUCGGCUGUCACUUACAGAUGGACCCGCGGCGCAUUAGCUAGUUGGUGGGGUAAUGGCUCACCAAGGCGACGAUGCGUAGCCGACCUGAGAGGGUGAUCGGCCACACUGGGACUGAGACACGGCCCAGACUCCUACGGGAGGCAGCAGUAGGGAAUCUUCCGCAAUGGACGAAAGUCUGACGGAGCAACGCCGCGUGAGUGAUGAAGGUUUUCGGAUCGUAAAGCUCUGUUGUUAGGGAAGAACAAGUGCGAGAGUAACUGCUCGCACCUUGACGGUACCUAACCAGAAAGCCACGGCUAACUACGUGCCAGCAGCCGCGGUAAUACGUAGGUGGCAAGCGUUGUCCGGAAUUAUUGGGCGUAAAGGGCUCGCAGGCGGUUUCUUAAGUCUGAUGUGAAAGCCCCCGGCUCAACCGGGGAGGGUCAUUGGAAACUGGGAAACUUGAGUGC
rnacentral:rRNA from 1 species